GCAACGCGCUAGGGUCACUUUUGAGAUCAAGAAAGCUUUGUUCUUUUGCUGUUUAUAAUAAAACCUGUUGCUGCUCGCUCUUUUGGGUUCUGACUGCGUUUAUGAGCUGUAACACUUACCACAAAGGUGUGUAGGUUCACUCCUGAAGCCUGUGAGACCACGAAUCCACCGGGAGGAACGAACAACUCCAGAUGUGGUGCCUUAAGAGCUAUAACACUCACUGUGAAGGUCUGCAGCUUUGCUCCUGAGCUAGCUAGACCACGAACCCACCAGCAGGAAAAAACUCCGAACACAUUUGAGCAUCAGAAGGAACAAACUCUGGACACGCCGCCUUUAAGAACUGUGAUAUUCACUGCGACAGUCCGCGGCUUCAUUCUUGAAGUCAGACCAAGAACCCACCAAUUCCGGACAUAGGAAUACUAGCAGGGACUUUCUGGACAUUCGGCUCGGAGUUGGUUAGUUGUUCAGGAUGGUUCAAAGGUGUAAACUGUGAUCCUCUUCCUUGAGUGAGAUGGAAAAAAAUUAAUUUGCCGCAUCAGUGUCCAUAUCUCAGGGUUGGUGGUAAAGGGAACUUGAGGAGAGUUAAGAAGUGAGACUGGAGAGAGCCCCAGGGGAAAACAUAGCACAGUUCUCAGGAACCGAAUUGACAGCAGAUCUGGCCCCAUCUCCAGGUGUCAAGUAGGAGCCAGUAUCAGAAGUGAGCUCUGUAACCUGCUGCUUCUGAAUUUUCCGUGGUAUCCACAAAUCGUUGUUGAAGAUGCUCACGUAAGCCACCCAGCCUGUGGAGAGAUGGUCAGUGUCUAAUCCUUAAGUUCUAUGUGCUCUGCAUGAACUCGCCCACCUCUCUGGAAGAGAAAUGUAGCAGGGUGGUGAGUGAGGAGUCAGGCCUUUCUGGAAGCUUUGCGCCCUAUACCAAUCCAUGCAGUAGUAUGUUGGUGCCAUGGUUUGGAAGUUUGUCCCCUCCAAAUCUUAGGUUGAAAUUUGAUCAUCAGUGUUGGAGGUGAGGCCUAAUGAGAGGUAUUUAGCUCUAGGGGGUGGAUCCCUCAUGAACAGCUUGCCAUUUCCAUGGUGGUGAGUUCUCAUUCUAUUAGUUCCCACAAGAGCUGGUUGUUGAAAGGAGCCUGGCACCUCCCCGCCCUGCCACCUCCCCUUUCUUUCUCUUGUUUCCUCACGUGCCAUGUGAUCUCUGCACAGACAGUUCCCUUUUACCUUCCAUUGUGAGUGGAUGCAGUCUGAUGCUGUCACUAGAUGCCCAAAUUUGAACCUUCCAGCCAGCAUAAUCAUGAGAUGAAUAACGCUGUUUUCCUUAUAAAUUACCCAGCCUCAAGUAUUUGUUUGUAUUAACACUAAGUGAAUAAAGACAGUUUGUAAAUGUUUAACAAUUGGAGGACAAUAAUUAUCCUUCAAUGCCCAACUUUCUUUUGGAUAUUUCCUCUAGCUCUCCUGGUAUAAAAUAAGAGGGCCGCCCCCGAUACUCCCAUAAUACCAUGGAACUAUCUCUUUCCUUUACUGUAUAAUAUAGAAUUGUGAUUAUUUGCUUAAAGUCUGUUUCCCUUCCCAAGCUGUGAGUUCCUGGAAGGGAGAGCCCAACCACCUCUGUCUUCAGCCCUGGAUGCAGUGUCUGGCACGUGGUCAGCCUUCAUUCAUAUUUGUUAGAUAUAUGUGAAUAAAUGAAUUAACUAAACUGUAGGUUAACAAGAGAGACCAGAAUAUUCAUAAGAACACUUUUAGCCUCAGGUUAGUAAAGAUACUAUUCAAAAUGGUUUAAAUAAUAAGAUGUUUAUUAUUUGACAAAAAAUAGUUCAGAGGUGGGAAAAGUUCCAGGGAUGGAUUCAUUCAGCACCUCAGCAAAGUUCUCAAGGAGCCAGGUCCAUUCUGUCCUCCUCCUGUGCUAUCCUUCACCUGUUUGCUUUUAUCAAAAGGUAGCAAAAGAGUUAUGUAUGACAGCAAAGAAGGUGGCAGCAGCUCCAGGCAUCACAUCCAUAUAUCACAAUGUCCACAGGCUAGAAGAGAGACCCUCUCUCUCUUUUUUUAACCUCAAAGUAAUCUCCCUCAGAAACAUUUCCCUCUUUCUUCCCAAAUAGAUUUCCCUUCAUUUGUUAAAAAAAAUAAAAAUACAAGAAUUGACUUGGACUAAUUAAAAUUUUCAGGGGUGGGGGGAUGUCUGUCUGGUAGGCAACCAGUCAGUUGUCACAUAUACAGUCAAUAAAGAUAAGAUAUUGAACUACCAUCCACAUGAUCAAGCUGCAUCCAUCUCAGCUAUACAAGGACUGUUGAACAUUAGAAAAUUUCUUAAUGUAAUUUGUGAUGCUAAUUAAUUGUAAGAAAUAUAUAUAUAAAUAAAAUCAUCUUAACUUUAAAAAUCAUGUGAUAAAAUUCAACACCUGCUCAAAAAUCCUUUAGACAUCAGAAAAAUGUGCCUAGAAUCACUCUUACUGUGCAAAAUUGUUCUAUAGAUCAUAGCCUCAUAUCAGAAAAAAGUUAUAUAAGAGCUUAAGAAAAAACCCACAAAGCUGUUAUUAUUAUUAUGACAAUAUGAUAGUAUUGUUAUAAUGACAUUAUUACCUACAUAAAAACUCAAGACACACUCCAAAUUAUUAGUAUUAAUGAGAGUUUAGAAAUUUUGAUGGAAAUGAGAUUGUUUACAAAAGCAGUCACAGUGAUACAUAUUAAUAACAAAAAAUCUACCAUUAAAAAGAGACCAUUUAUAAUAGCAACAAAAUAUAUAAGGUUUCUAGAAAUAAAUUUAAGAAGAGCUGGAAAUUAUAUUUAUGAAGAAAAUAUAAAUAAGUACUGAAAUUUAUUUGAUAAAUAAAAAUCAAUGGAAGAGAUGAACUAUGUUUAUAGAUACACUCAAAAUCACAAAAAUUUUUACUCCUCCCAAAUUAAUCUAAAAGUCUAAUGUGACCCUAAUUGAAAUAUAAAGAUUAUGUAAAAAUUGACAAGGUGAUUUUAAAACAUGGAAAAGUGUUAAUAAUUGCACUUUUUGAAGACAAGUUUGAAAACUAAUGUAGAAAAACAUGUUUUACCAGAAAUCAAGAAUUAUUCUGAAGCCUGGGGAGGUGGCUAACACCUGUUGUAAUCCCAGCACUUUGGGAAGCCAAGGUGGGAGGAUUGCUUGAGGCUAGAAGUUCUAGACAAGCCUGGUAAACACAAUGAGACCUCACUUCUACAUAAAAUUUUAAAAAAUUAGCCAGUGCAUGACUCACAUCUGUAAUCCUCGCUACUUGGGAGGCUGAGGUGGGAGGAUUGCUUGAGCCCAGGAGUUCGAGGCUGCACCACUCAAACUCCUGGGCUGGAGGUGAUUGCACUGCUGCACUCCAGCCUGAGUGACAGAUGAGACUGCAUCUAAAAAAAAGUAUUUUGAAACUAUGGUAAUUGGGCCACUGUGAUUUGGAUACAAGGCCAGAUCUACAAACCAAUGAAACAAAUACAUGACCCAGAAAUUUACUCAUAAUUAUACGAAACUUGAUAUCUGAGAGGGUUGUAUUGUAAAUCAAUGUUGAAAGGAUGGUCUGUUUAACAAAUGAUUUUGGAACAACUGGUUAUCUAUUAUAAAAAAUUAUCUGUAUCUCAUGCUAUAUGCAAAUAUCAAUGCUA
rnacentral:lncRNA from 1 species